UUGAGAUGAGAUCGAGCUGCCGGCGGCGAGUGUAUUCUGCUGGCCGGUGAAAUUAUUCUGGGGAUUUAUUUUUAUUUUGAGUUGGGCGGCAUCGCGCGUCAGGCAGCGACCGCUUCCGGGUGCCCACCGGCCCGAGCCCAACCCUGAAACCGAGGCGAGAGAGAGAGAGGCGGCGGCGGCGAGAUCGAGCUGCGGGUGGCGAGCGGCGAGCGGCGGCCGCCGGCGACCUGCUCUGCUUGUAGGAUUGGGGUGUCUUCCCGUGGGACAACCCCCUCCACCCAAACCCCAACCCCCAGGCCACUCCGAGCGAUCUCGACUUUGCUGUGCUUAAGAGCCUAGCCGCCGGUGGCGCCGCUCCGGGCUAGGGCUAGCCUAUCCCCUCCCGGUCUCCCGUUUCCUGGUGCACACCCGUCUGCGGCUAGCUGCUGCAGCACUCAGGCCACCGCGCGCCCGCCAGUGCCAGCCGGCGGCCUCACGCUUGGCUGAUUGUCUGGAUGGAAUUGAGCUCUACAUGUUUCUUCUUUUUUGAAGGAUCAGCUCUACAUGCUGUUGUUGUUGUUGUUGUUGUUGCAGUGUAUACAAAUUGGACAGAAUUGUAUCAAUGUAUCAGAACUGAACCGCUGAUUUUCUGUAUUUGGCUGCAAUGCAGGUGUUGUGCCAGGAAAAUUCAGUGCCGAGAUGUAUCAUGGUGGAGUUUUUCUUGGGUAUGGCUCAAACUGAAGCUGCAUUUAGGCCGAAAAGUUGAUGCUUUGAUGAAAAGCUUUGUAUGGCUCUCCCUACAGCUGAGUUGAUUGCAGGCCUUUUAAGAAGGGGAGAUGUUGUGAGGGGUAGGGGUAAAAGACACAGACAAGAUUCAUCCUGCAUCCAAAGAGGUAGUGAUCAGCUUCCUGAACUGCCUACAAACUCAAGAGACAGCUGGUCAGACAAGCCUGAGGAUGUAGGUGGUCAAGAAGGUUCGGAUUAUUCGCAAGGAAGAUUUUGAUAAACAAGUGCAACUGGAAGCAGAGAGGAGGAUGAAUAUUUUCCUUCAGCAAAAACAGGAGAAACGACUCAGAGGACAAUUGCUCAAAGAGCAGCAAAAGGCUAAUUUUCAGAGGCAGUAUAAAGAGGAGCCGGCUGCUCUGGAUAAUGAACAUGGUGCUGAUGACACUAUCACAUCUCAAGAUAGUGGGAGCAGAAUCUCUGAUCAAAUUCUGGAUGAGCUGGAGGGCAUUGGCAGUAAGGCAUACAUAGAUGAUCUCGAAUGAAACCAACAGAUGUCAGAUUUCUGAACCUGGUGUGGAGAACAAUGAGUUUACUUCUUCAAGGGCAGGUCAUGAUCAAGACAACACAAUGAGGAGGUGCUCAAGACUUGAACUAUACUGCGCAUGACAGGGCCAUCCACAAUGUCAGGGUGAAAAACUUGGAGAUCGCCAAUGGAGAACUACAUGUAAUACCUAGCUAAAACAACAUUGUUGCAGCAGAAAAUGAUAAUAAUAAUUGGUGCCCCUAGUAGAUCCCCUAGUAGAUCUAUGGAAAACAUAUACCCAGAAAUGGAGCACAAGAGAGUACAGUCAUAUAGGCAAACCAUUAAACAUGUGCCAUGCAAGGGAAAGAUAUGAAGGAUGCUACCUUGCAAGAAAUAAUUUUUUAAAAUUGUUAUUGCCAGAGGAUAGGAGAGGGCCGGAGAAACUUUAGCAAAUGUGUGCGUUUACAGCCUGGACAUGUAAGGAGGGAGGAAGAGAUAAGGUUUUCACCAAACCUUUUUUUGUUGGUGGCAGGCUCGUAGCCAAAGCAACAGAGACGAUGGCAUGCUGAUUCCUGGUCCUCGUCGUCCAUACUCAGUUAUAACUCGCGGCAACUGGGCCUCACCCCGCCCGGCCCUCUUCGGAGGUCCCAGCUACUGCAAUCUUGGAGGCAGAGUAGGCCAUCUGGUGAGCAAGGCCAGAGGACGGCAAUCCAGUGCCGAGGCGAGAGACCAGAGGGCAAUGACCGGCCGGCCAGAGAGAGGAACAGAGACAGCGGCCUAGGGCGGAGUUGACGUCAACAUGUUUGGCCAUUUGAGGAAGCAGAGGGCCAAUUCAGAAUCGACCCUGACAGUCAGAGACAGCUUGGGCCGCAGAUGGCCUGAGAAGGCGCCAUAUCCCUCCGCUUCGAGGCUUCUUAUGAAUGACAAAGUUAAAUUAUGGAGUGUGAAACAUCAUAAGGCUCGUUGUGAUGAGCUGUUGUCUUGCAGUAUGCUCAAAUGUAGUACAACACUGUACAUUGGGAAUGCUUGUUAUGAAACGUGAAGUCUUAUUUUCA